rnacentral:rRNA from 1 species
CACGUGAGAAACCUGCCCUUAGUUGAGGAUAACCAUUCUAACGGAUGGCUAAUACUGAAUAUUGACAUAAGUCUCCUGGCUUGUGAUCGAAAGGCUUCGGCCGCUUAGGGAUGGUCUCGCGUCUGAUUAGCUUGUUGGUGAGGUAGUGGCUCACCAAGGCGACGAUCAGUAGCCGGCCUGAGAGGGUGAUCGGCCACAUUGGGACUGAGAUACGGCCCAGACUCCUACGGGAGGCAGCAGUAGGGAAUAUUGCACAAUGGAGGAAACUCUGAUGCAGCAACGCCACGUGUGGGAUGACGC